rnacentral:RNase_P_RNA from 1 species
AUCGCUGAUGGCUCUAUCGCUUUUCCGGUUAAACGGAAGAGAGGAAAGUCCGGGCAACACAGAGCAUCCUGCUUCCUAACGGGAAGGGGCAAAAUCGGUAACGGUUUUGUCACAGCAAGUGCCGCAGAAAAUGACCGUCUCGCAAUUGUGGGAUAAGGGUGAAAACGUGAGGUAAGAGCUCACGGUAUGUUUCCGCAAGGAACAUUCGGGUAAACCUCAGGAGUUGAAAAACCAAAUAAGCCAUGGAUUGCCUUCGGGCAGGAAGAGCGGCUCGUUCAAGUUCCUUGCAAAAGGACGCCAUGGCGGGUAGGUUGAUUGAGGUGUAACGUGAGUUGCAUCCCAGAUAAAUGAUAGAGAUUCCGUUUGCGGAAUACAGGACCCGGCUUACAAGUCAGCGAUGAAC